AGCGAGGGUGGCGGAACUGGUAGACGCACCAGACUUAGGAUCUGGCGCCUUACGGUGUGGGGGUUCGACUCCCCCUCUCGCACC
rnacentral:tRNA from 1 species